AAAGUCUAUGCCUGAACUGUGCUUCUGUGAUUAAUGGCCCUUGCUUCGCUCCAGCAUAGCUCUUUCCUUAAGGAGAUGAGAGAGAGGCAAGUUAGAAUUAUGUAAGGUAAAAAAAAAUUGAAUGCAUUUUGUUUUUCAUCAGUUUUCAGAGCUUGCAAAUCACUAUUCGAAUCGCAUAGCCCUGAAAAAAUAGAACAGGAAUAUCGGGUGUUAUGACAGAGUAAUAUAUACUGAACGCAUUGUGAUUCAUCCUGGGGAAAUCAUCUCAGAAGAAAAGGAACAGAACCGAGCUAAAGGCACUGUUGCGAACUGGAUGAAAGGAAAUGAAUUCAUCUAUGCAGUCUCGACUUUUGUCAGUCAGUAUGUGCCGGGAUAAAAUUAUGACUAAGGUAAUCGAUAUGAAUCAUCAAGAAAGGUGACUUUAGAAUCUGUCUAGACUUGACCAAGCUCGUAAUGUAACUCCACUUAAUUGGAAAGCCUGUCUUAUAGUAUUGAUUAGGAAUGUCACAUGAAAAGAAUCAUACCAUGUGUAACCUUUAAAAUGGGCUUCUUUCAUAGAGCAGAAUGCAUUUGAGAUUCACCCCUGCCAUGGUAACAACACAGGAGAUCCUGCGCGUUGGAGAAUUCCUUUAUCAGGAAGUAUCAGAUUGGCCCUUUGUCCUUCAUGCCUUCUUGUGAGUCAGUCCUUUCUCUGUCUGCCCUCCACAAUAAAUAAAAUAUCUAUUAGUGUGAAAUGA